AUCAAUUAAAGGAAACAGAACUUACGGUGGAUGCAAAAUUAGACUCUAUGCUAAUAAUAUCCUCGUAGGAAAGCUUAUCAGAUCAUUUUCAAUUCCUGCACCUCAUGGUAGUUACGCCUUCUCUCAGUUUCUAACCCAAAAGAAACCCAAUGUCUGGAACAGCCUCCAUCAACCAAAUCUGAAGUGUAUACGAGACUCCAUCUACGACAUAACUCUUUUGCGUUUUCACUUUAUCCCUAACUUUGAUAGUGGAACUCACCAGCAUAUCAAAAGAGUGAAGACCCUACGGAUAUUUCCUCAUCUUCUCGAAAUCCAUCACCAGCUUGAUGUACUUGUGUGGGAUCAACAUCUUCUCAUCCUUCGCCAUAAGAAUACCGACAAUCACACACAAAUACACAAAACUCAGCCUAUCAACACGAGACCAGGUAUUACACAACUUCAGAUGUACCUUCCUGAUUUGCUGAACCGAACCGAAAUAUUUUUGUCUCCUUAGCAACUUACUCCAAAACCCUCGAUCAUAUUCCCAG
rnacentral:lncRNA from 1 species